AUUGAACGCUGGCGGCAGGCCAAACACAUGCAAGUCGAGCGGAUGAAGGGAGCUUGCUCCUGGAUUCAGCGGCGGACGGGUGAGUAAUGCCUAGGAAUCUGCCUGGUAGUGGGGGAUAACGUCCGGAAACGGGCGCUAAUACCGCAUACGUCCUGAGGGAGAAAGUGGGGGAUCUUCGGACCUCACGCUAUCAGAUGAGCCUAGGUCGGAUUAGCUAGUUGGUGGGGUAAAGGCCUACCAAGGCGACGAUCCGUAACUGGUCUGAGAGGAUGAUCAGUCACACUGGAACUGAGACACGGUCCAGACUCCUACGGGAGGCAGCAGUGGGGAAUAUUAGACAAUGGGCGAAAGCCUGAUCCAGCCAUGCCGCGUGUGUGAAGAAGGUCUUCGGAUUGUAAAGCACUUUAAGUUGGGAGGAAGGGCAGUAAGUUAAUACCUUGCUGUUUUGACGUUACCAACAGAAUAAGCACCGGCUAACUUCGUG
rnacentral:rRNA from 1 species